rnacentral:lncRNA from 10 species
GCUGGAAGAGGAAAGACACCCUCGGGGCAGGAGAAAAAAUUCGAUAGGAAAAACGUGCCUUGCACACCUGACAACAUGCUGCAGAGGAGGACGUGCAGUCUGGAUGUAAAUGUGGGUCUAAGCCACAGCAGGAGUCUUCUUGUCUGCGAGACGCGCCUGGCAUUCACUGAGCAGGGCUGGCGUGAGCAUGAGUGCUGGUCCACGUGAAGCGCUUAGCACGGAGCCUGGCACCGGGGGCGCUGGGGAAGACAGUUGAUCCCAACCACUUUCUUGCACAUUUCUGACACGGCUGCUGAUUCCUGCCAGGCAGGCCCCGGGCGCCUGCGAUUCAGCAAGACUUCCUCAUCGCCUUUUUAAACCUGCUCUGCUCAAGCCUCAGCUCUUGGUGAUUUCCUGAAGAUGCUGCCACCCGGGAAGAGCCUCCCAGUCCUCAAAUCCCGAGCCCAUGCCUUUCAUCCCUGCCAGGUUUCCAUUUCCAGUUUGCUCCUAACCUGGCCCUUGUCCCCUGCCCCGGCCCCCCGGGACGGGCGAGAGCGAGCCAGACAAUAGUAAAUGGAAUUCAGUCCCACACAAGGGGAAAAAAAAAAAAAAAAGAUUAUGAAAAUGGAAAGUAAAUAAAUAUGGAUGUUGAGGACCUAAUUCUGAUAAGCGGAUUUUCAAAAUUAGCCAUUUGCAAGAGUAGAUUAAAUGCGUUUAAUGUGAUGGGUGGAAGUAAGUCGAUUAAGAUGCACAGCAGACCCCAUUUCAGCAGAUUCCGGGGAGCAGGCCUCGCAGGCCCCCUUCACGCUGCGCAUGUUUGCCGGGAUAAACGCCGAAUGCCUC